rnacentral:lncRNA from 1 species
CUGGCCCUCGCCUGUCUCCUGCAUGAUCUGGGCUGAGCGGAAGAUAUCGUCCACAAUCUCACGGAUCGGAUCGUCUCUGGUGCUGAUCCUGGCCAUGGCACGAGGCUUGAUCGGAGCUGGAGUUGGCACGGGCUUGGGACGAGUAAUUCUCAUCGUACCAUACUGUGCUGUAUCGUCAUCCUCCUGCAUAGGGUAUUUGCCCCUAUCUAGAAAC